UAAUUUGCAGCGAAAUGGCGUAUGAAAUAAAAAAUAUUUUGAUUAAUUAAUUAAUUCUUAUUAUUAGGCAAUGUUUUAGUGAAAGAGUUGUAAAAAACAAAAACCAAUUAUGAGCGGAGGAAGCAAAAUACUGUUGCAAAGUCGGGAUUUUUCGAAAUUUCACAAAAAUUGCAUUAAAUUGAAAACCGUUAGGAUUUGGGAUGAACAAGUUACCAAAUUCUGAGAGCCCUUAAGUUGGCCUAUAAGCAUAUUUCGUUUGAUCCAUUACUUUUGGGACACCCUAUAUACCUAGGGGAGAGUGGGGCCAAAUGUAACACUUUUUUCUAAAAUCGAUGGUUCUCCUACAAAUUUGAAAGUGGGUCAACCAGACCUUUUUUAAAUUAUAGACCCAUGUUUUAGCUCCAAGAUCCAUCAUAAAAAUUUAGCAAAACAUAACGGUAAUGUUGAAAAAUAAAGCUUCCAAAAAAAAAAUCGUGUUGUUUCAACUUACCCCACAUACGGGGCAAAGUGUAACACAUACCGGGGUAGGUUGUACCAAGAAAUAAAAAUAAGAGAAAAAUACCUUUAUUUGAUGUUUAUAUUUAUUUAUUUUUAAUUAAUAACAAUAAAAACAAACCUCAGUCAUGAAAUUUUGGUGCAAAUUUGUUAAAAGUGGAGCAAAUCCAAGAUUUCCACAGAAAAUUUGACAGUAGUCUUAAAUAAAAGUUAUUCGAAUUCAUAAAUUGUUUUAUAAGCUUUAUGAAUUCAAGUGGUGGUUCAAAAAUGUGUUUCCAAUUUCAAAAUAAAUACAAAUUCAAUUACAAGCAUUCAUAUCCAGGGUUGUUUAUUAUAUUAUUUAAACAAUUUUUCAGUAUAGGUAGGUUUUUACAUGGUACAACUUGCCCCGGAAAAAUGUUACAACUAGCCCCAGCAUGAAAUUUGGCACAUAAAAUCAAUUUAAAAAAAAAAGCGAAACUGAUAUAGACAUAACAUAUACAC